rnacentral:lncRNA from 1 species
GGAUCUGUACGCUUCCUUGUCAAUUCUGUGAUGCUUCAGGACCACGGCUCUUAGACUUCAAUCAAAUGGGCUAGCUCUCCAAAAAUCCAGAAUAAAUGACAGCGCUAAAGGGAAAAUAAACAGCAGCUUGGAACAUGGCAAGAAGCUCAUUCCCACCCCACAGAGGCGCAGAGGGGGAAGCCCGGGAGGCAAGGUCUCAACAGAAGACUUUUUAAAACCACCUGAUCCUCUUAUUUCGUACUAUAAAACAUAAUGGAGAUUUCAUCAAGUUGGCAGGAAAUCGUGAGCUAAUAAAAGAGCCUUGUUACAAAGAUAA